rnacentral:rRNA from 1 species
UGCGGAAUUUUAGAUAAUGGAGGGAACUCUGAUCUAGCGACGCCGCGUGCAGGAAGAAGGUCUUCGGAUUGUAAACUGCUGUGGUAAGGGAAAAAUGCUAUGUAGAGUGGAAAGCUACAUAGAGGGAUGGUACCUUACUAGAAAGCCCCGGCUAACUACGUGCCAGCAGCCGCGGUAAUACGUAGGGGGCGAGCGUUACCCGGAAUCACUGGGCGUAAAGGGAGCGUAGGUGGCCUAACAUGUCAACUGUGAAAACCCGGAGCUCAACUCCGUACUUGCAGUUGAAACUGGUAGGCUUGAGGACGGUAGAGGAAGACGGAACUGCCAGUGUAGGGGUAAGAUCCUUAGAUAUUGGCAGGAACGCCGGUGACGAAGAUGGUUUUCUGGGCCGGUUCUGACACUGAUGCUCGAAAGCCAGGGGAGCGAAC